GAUGAAGAACGCAGCGAAAUGCGACAAGUAAUGUGAAUUGCAGAAUUCAGUGAAACAUCGAAUCUUUGAACGCACAUUGCGCCCCUUGGUAUUCCGAGGGGCAUGCCUGUUCGAGCGUCAAUAUAACCCCUCAAGCUCAGCUUGGUGUUGGGGCCUGCUGCACUGGCAGCCCUUAAAAUCAGUGGCGGCGCCAUCUGGCUCUAAGCGUAGUAAUUCUUCUCGCUAUGGAGUCCUGGUGGAUGCUUGCCAUCAACCCCCAAUUUUUCUAUGGUUGACCUCGGAUCAGGUAGGGAUACCCGCUGAACUUAAGCAUAUCAAUAAGCGGAGGA
rnacentral:misc_RNA from 1 species